GGCUGGAUUUUAGCUCAGUUGGUAGAGCACCGGAACAGCAAUCUGGAGGUCGCAGGUUCAAACCCCGCUCCAGUCA